AAAUGAAGUUACGAUUUAAAGGUUUAAGCAACACAUGAAAAAUGUAUAGGAGGGCAAUAUAAUGUGUUAAUACUGUAAACUGAAUUUUAACAGAUGGCAUGUGUGACCAACAGCUGACUGCCUCCGGUAUCAAACAGAUCCUGAAAUCUGAUAAUUAUCCUUACCUGUUCCCAAGCUACCAGAGGUGUAAAUAUGCCAUCACCAGCUCCCCCGGACACGCCGUCUAUAUAUCCGUGAAAGCCAGUGACAUUGGCGGUAGCAUCCACUGUGUGAAGAGAGUGAUCUCAGUCUAUGAUGGUCUUGACGAGACGAUUGAAAA